rnacentral:rRNA from 1 species
CCUACGGGUGGCAGCAGUGAGGAAUAUUGGUCAAUGGACGAGAGCCUGAACCAGCCAAGUAGCGUGAAGGAUGACUGCCCUACGGGUUGUAAACUUCUUUUAUACGGGAAUAAAGUGCCGUACGUGUACGUUUUUGUAUGUACCUUAUGAAUAAGGACCGGCUAACUCCGUGCCAGCAGCCGCGGUAAUACGGAGGUUCCGAGCGUUAUCCGGAUUUAUUGGGUUUAAAGGGAGCGUAGUCGGGCUGUCAAGUGCGUUGUGAAAGUUUGGGGCUCAACCGGAGAAUUGCAGUUGAUACUGGCGGGCUUGAGUACGGCGGAGGUAGGCGGAAUUCGUGGUGUAGCGGUGAAAUGCUUAGAUAUGACGAAGAACUCCGAUUGCGAAGGCAGCUUGCUGAAGUGGAACUGACGCUGAUGCUCGAAAGUGUGGGUAUCAAACAGGAUUAGAUACCCGAGUAGUC